rnacentral:rRNA from 1 species
UAGGGAAUCUUCCACAAUGGACGCAAGUCUGAUGGAGCAACGCCGCGUGAGUGAAGAAGGUUUUCGGACCGUAAAGCUCUGUUGUUGGUGAAGAAGGAUAGAGGUAGUAACUGGCCUUUAUUUGACGGUAAUCAACCAGAAAGUCACGGCUAACUACGUGCCAGCAGCCGCGGUAAUACGUAGGUGGCAAGCGUUGUCCGGAUUUAUUGGGCGCAAAGCGAGCGCAGGCGGAAGAAUAAGUCUGAUGUGAAAGCCCUCGGCUUAACCGAGGAAUUGCAUCGGAAACUGUUUUUCUUGAGUGCAGAAGAGGAGAGUAGAACUCCAUGUGUAGCGGUGGAAUGCGUAGAUAUAUGGAAGAAUACCAGUGGCGAAGGCGGCUCUCUGGUCUGCAACUGACGCUGAGGCUCGAAAGCAUGGGUAGCGAACAGGAUUAGAUACCCUGGUAGUCCAUGCCGUAAACGAUGAGUGCUAAGUGUUGGGAGGCUUCCGCCUCUCAGUGCUGCAGCUAACGCAUUAAGCACUCCGCCUGGGGGAGUACGACCGCAAGGUUGAAAC